rnacentral:rRNA from 1 species
UGAGGAAUAUUGGUCAAUGGACGGAAGUCUGAACCAGCCAUGCCGCGUGCAGGAUGACGGCUCUAUGAGUUGUAAACUGCUUUUGUACGAGGGUAACCGCAGUUACGUGUAACUGUCUGAAAGUAUCGUACGAAUAAGGAUCGGCUAACUCCGUGCCAGCAGCCGCGGUAAUACGGAGGAUCCGAGCGUUAUCCGGAUUUAUUGGGUUUAAAGGGUGCGUAGGUGGUUCUUUAAGUUAUAGGUGAAAGCUCGACGCUCAACGUCGAAAUUGCCUGUAAUACUGAGGAACUAGAGACCAGUUGCAGAAGGCGGAAUGUGUGGUGUAGCGGUGAAAUGCUUAGAUAUCACACAGAACACCGAUUGCGAAGGCAGCUUUCUAAGCUGGAUCUGACACUGAUGCACGAAAGCGUGGGGAGCGAACAGGAUUAGAUACCCGGGUAGUCC